GCCGGCUUGCCGGCUACGGCGAUAAAUGGUCAGUGGAAUAAGCCUUUCGGACCCGGGGGCGGUACCCGGCGCCUCCACCA
rnacentral:tmRNA from 1 species